ensembl:lncRNA
GGAGCAGGAAGGAGGGAAGGAGGGAGUCAACAGCCCAGAGCCCAGCCGACUGAUGGAGCAGGGAAGGAGGGAAGGAGGGAGUCAACAGCCCAGAGCCCAGCCGACUGACGGUGCAGGAAGGAGGGAAGGAGGGAGUCAACAGCCCAGAGCCCAGCCGACUGAUGGAGCAGGAAGGAGGGAAGGAGAGAGUCAACAGCCCAGAGCCCAGCCGACUGAUGGAGCAGGAAGGAGUGAAGGAGAGAGUCAACAGCCCAGAGCCCAGCCGACUGAUGGAGCAGAGAAGGAGGGAAGGAGAGAGUCAACAGCCCAGAGCCCAGCCGACUGAUGGAGCAGGAAGGAGGGAAGGAGAGAGUCAACAGCC